GUAGUCCACGCCGUAAACGAUGAAUACUAGGUGUUGGUGGGCAAAGCCCAUCGGUGCCGCCGCAAACGUAAUAAGUAUUCCACCUGGGGAGUACGUUCGCAAGAAUGAAACUCAAAGGAAUUGACGGGGGCCCGCACAAGCGGUGGAGCAUGUGGUUUAAUUCGAAGCAACGCGAAGAACCUUACCGAGUCUUGACAUCGUGAUGACCGGAACUUAACCGUUCCUUCCCUUCGGGGCAUCAUAGACAGGUGGUGCAUGGUUGUCGUCAGCUCGUGUCGUGAGAUGUUGGGUUAAGUCCCGCAACGAGCGCAACCCUUAUCCUCAGUAGCCAGCAGUAAGAUGGGAACUCU
rnacentral:rRNA from 1 species